rnacentral:rRNA from 1 species
AUUGAACGCUGGCGGCAGGCCUAACACAUGCAAGUCGAGCGGAUGAAGGGAGCUUGCUCCUGGAUUCAGCGGCGGACGGGUGAGUAAUGCCUAGGAAUCUGCCUGGUAGUGGGGGAUAACGUCCGGAAACGGGCGCUAAUACCGCAUACGUCCUGAGGGAGAAAGUGGGGGAUCUUCGGACCUCACGCUAUCAGAUGAGCCUAGGUCGGAUUAGCUAGUUGGUGGGGUAAAGGCCUACCAAGGCGACGAUCCGUAACUGGUCUGAGAGGAUGAUCAGUCACACUGGAACUGAGACAUGGUCCAGACUCCUACGGGAGGCAGCAGUGGGGAAUAUUGGACAAUGGGCGAAAGCCUGAUCCAGCCAUGCCGCGUGUGUGAAGAAGGUCUUCGGAUUGUAAAGCACUUUAAGUUGGGAGGAAGGCCAGUAAGUUAAUACCUUGCUGUUUUGACGUUACCAACAGAAUAAGCACCGGCUAACUUCGUG